UGCGUCGGCCGGGAGUCGAACACGGGUCAAUUGUUUGGGAAACAACGAUUCUAACAGUUGAAGUACCGCAAC